GAUCGGAGGCUACGCAAAGAGUUCUAUCUAUCUCGGCAUGGGUGGGGGUGGUGGCAAGAUCCUCGCCGUUCUCUCCCCCGACCAAAGGAAUAGGGAAUCUGAUAAUAGCAUGGAAAACUGGUGAUUCAGCUUGUAAUCUGCAACGUUCUCACCGUUGCACGACUGCACGAGAUGACGAUGGUCCAAUGCCCAUCCAAAUUUACAAAGCGAUGGCAAGAAUACAAUCAUGAAAGGAGGAAGACCAUGGGAGGGCAAAGCUAAUGUUGGGUGUUUCCUUUCGUUUGACGAGGUGCAGGAAAAUAGACAGUACGAGGGAAGAGCGAUGCAGGGAAAAUAGGAAGCAAGAGAGAAGAGAAAAGCUCAAGCGGCAAUGACCAAAGCCUCCCGGCGGAUGACCGGAGGCCACCGUCGAACGUUUGAGCAUUGCCUCUCUUCUUGCAUCUCACAUGCCGGUGGAUGGCCAGAUCACACAAAACAGAAAAUGGGGUCAAGCUGUCUACACUGUUGCGGGGAGGAACCGGUAUGCUGCUACUGCGAGCUGCGGUUGAGAAGAGGAAACAAGAAGGGGGAGACUGAUCACCCUAACGGGUGAAAUGUUAACGGGCAAAAAAUUUAUCCAGGGUUUCAGCAAUUCAAACGGGCCCUGGCUUUCGCCACAGACCAGGACUCCAGCCGUCGCCGGUGAUCAAUGAAGUUCGACGAAAUCACCGGGCGUGUCUGUCUACCAGCAUGGUAUCAUGGCACCGAGGCUUCGCGGCGUGAUCGCCGGUUCCAGCGACCGGCUGGACGACGCCGGACAGACUGUAGCAUGGGCUGGUCUCCGACGUCAGAUGGCCUGAUCAACAUUUAUUCAGAAGCAUACAACAAGGCCCCAAAACACAGAGGGUUCCGCUCCAGCAGAUGCAGGGGUACCUUGCCUCCUGACUGGAAAGCAAAGCAGUGACCAGAAGGGAAAGAGGGUUCAGGCAGCAAUGGAACUAGGUAUCCGAAUAUUGACGGCAAAAGUAGGCCGCUGACGCAGGAGGCGCAUAGCGUUCGACAUGUUCAGGCGAUUCCAUUGGUUUUCUUCUUCUUGCCUCAACGGAAAAUGUUGGAUCUGGUCCGAACAGAAUAGCGGCGUAAAGUCAGUGUUCGGCCUUCAGGGGUUGUUUCCCUUCCGAUCAAAACUGGAACACGGAAGCCAACCUUCGGUUCUCUCUAACGGUUCAAUAACCAAGCCGUUGAUUCCAAUGUUGAAGCUUUGUGGUUCAGGAUCUUGACGCAGCAUCAACUUUAAUUAACGUGCAAGUGUAAACCUGCAAAAAACGCAGCAACCCAGCAGCAAAACGAAGCAACGUAGCGGCACAGGGCAAGCGAGAGAGAGAGAGAGCGGUGAGUUGAGGGGAUUUACGGGUUUUCUUCAAGGAGCCCUUGAAUGUGUUCUCUCUCACUUGCAUAGAGAUGGAGGGUGUUGGGCCUUUAUGACUGGCAUCCCCGAAUGCCAGGCUAGUGGAAACUCCUCGAUUUUUUCAGUUUUUUUUGUAACUAUUGUAAAAGACUGAAUGACUUUGUAACCGACUAAUCGUCCUCCUAUUGGUGGGCGGGCCCUCUCAUCUCAUGGCCACAACCCACGACGUCUUUCCGGCCACACGCGACUGCCUUACUACUGCUGCA